rnacentral:SRP_RNA from 10 species
GCCACAUGCUGUGGUGCAUGCCUGUAGUCCCAGCUACUGGGAGGCUGAGGCAGGAAGAUCUCUUAAGCCCAGGAGUUCUGCACUGUAGUGCGCUAUGCCAAUCAGGUGUUUGCACCAAGUUCAGCAUCAGUAUGGUGACCUCCAGGGAGUGGAGGACCACCAGGUUGCCUAAGGCGGAGUGAACCAGCCCAGGUCGGAAACAGAGCACGUCAAAACUUCCGUGCUGAUCCGUACUGGGAUCACGCCUGUGAACAGCCACUGCACUCCAGCCUGGGUGAUAUGGUUUGGCUGUGU